AGCGAACGCUGGCGGCGUACUUAACACAUGCAAGUCGAACGGGGAUCGACGCGUGAGCAAUCAUGUGGCGGUCCUAGUGGCGCACGGGUGAGUAACACGUGGUAACCUGCCCUGGAGACCGGGAUACCCUCUCGAAAGGGAGGCUAAUACCGGAUACGUUCCUCAGAUCGCGAGGUCAGGGGAGGAAAGGUGGCGCAAGCUACCGCUCUUGGAGGGACUCGCGGCCUAUCAGCUAGUUGGUGAGGUGACGGCUCACCAAGGCUAUGACGGGUAGCUGGUCUGAGAGGACGACCAGCCACACGGGGACUGAGACACGGCCCCGACUCCUACGGGAGGCUG
rnacentral:rRNA from 1 species